rnacentral:rRNA from 1 species
UAGCCUUGACAUUGAUAGAAUACACCAGAGAUGGAGUAGUGCCUUUCGGGGAACUUGAAAACAGGUGCUGCACGGCUGUCGUCAGCUCGUGUCGUGAGAUGUUGGGUUAAGUCCCGCAACGAGCGCAACCCUCGUCCUUAGUUGCCAGCAGGUUAAGCUGGGCACUCUAAGGAGACUGCCUUCGUAAGGAGGAGGAAGGUGAGGACGACGUCAAGUCAUCAUGGCCCUUACGGCUAGGGCAACACACGUGCUACAAUGGUUAGGACAAUGAGAAGCGAUACCGCGAGGUGGAGCAAAUCUAUAAACCUAAUCUCAGUUCGGAUAGCAGUCUGCAACUCGACUGCUUGAAGCUGGAAUCACUAGUAAUCGUAAAUCAGCUAUGUUACGGUGAAUACGUUCCCGGGUCU